CGUCAGUGUUCAAUGAUUAACUUUCAGGUUUUCCAAGUACUUUGGGGUGCAUCGAUUGUACACAUGUGCAUAUCAAGAAGCCGGUAGACCAUGUGGAAGACUUUAUAGGGCGAAAGGGUGUUCCCACCAUCAACGUUCAGGCUGUGUGUGAUGCGAGCUACCGAAUAACAAGUUUCAGUGCCAGUUGGCCAGGGAGGACACAUGAUGCCAGGAUUUGGCGAAACUGUGAACUGAAACAGCAGUUUGAGAAUGGUCAACACGAUGGACUAUUGAUUGGCGACAGUGGGUAUGGUUGCUCGCGACAUUUAAUGACACCAUACCUUAGACCGUCAAAUCAAGCUCAGGAGCAAUUCAAUCGUUCCCUGUGCAGAACAAGAGUAACAAUAGAACAAACUUUUGGAAUUUUGAAAAAUAGGUUUGGCAUACUCAGGAAAAUCAGAACACAUCCACAAAGGGCUGUAAAAAUCAUAAGUGCAUGCAUUGUGCUACACAACAUUGCAAUAAUUCACAAUGAACUGAAUGAGAUUCCAGAAGAAAAUCACAUCUUGCCCGUUAACAACAAUCAAGGCAAUGAUGAUGAUAACAUGGAUGGGAGGGCAAUGAGGGAUUACAUAACCAGGGCAUUUUUUUUAGGAUAAUUCUGAACAACAUAUUAAGGAUAUGUGAACUUGCAAAAGACAACGUAUACGCUAAA